GCAGACACAUUCCAGCCAAUCAGCAGCAGACCCUCCCUCCAAGACCCUCCCACCUCCUGGACAGCAUCCAUUGUGAAGCUGCAUUCUUAGUGAGCUGUCCAGGAGGUGGGAGGGUCUGGGAGGGAGGGUCUGCUGCUGAUUGGCUGGAAUGUGUCUG